rnacentral:rRNA from 1 species
GAAUUCACUAGUGAUUCAGGCCUAACACAUGCAAGUCGAGCGAACCACUUCAAAAGAGAGCGGCGAACGGGUGAGUAACACGUAGGUGAUCUGCCCAUCAGACGGGGACAACGAUUGGAAACGAUCGCUAAUACCGGAUAGGACGAAAGUUUAAAGGUGCUUCUGGCACCGCUGAUGGAUGAGCCUGCGGCGCAUUAGCUAGUUGGUAGGGUAAAGGCCUACCAAGGCGACGAUGCGUAGCCGACCUGAGAGGGUGAACGGCCACACUGGGACUGAGACACGGCCCAGACUCCUACGGGAGGCAGCAGUAGGGAAUCUUCGGCAAUGGGCGAAAGCCUGA